UCGCGGCGGCGUGCGCAGAAGGGUCUGGGCUCGAGCCUGCCUGGAGCCGCCGCCGGUGCAGAUCUUGGUGGUAGUAGCAAAUACUCCAGCGAGGCCCUGGAGGACUGAUGUGGAGAAGGGUUUCGUGUGAACAGCCGUUGCACACGAGUCAGUCGAUCCUAAGCCCUAGGAGAAAUCCGACGCCUACGGCGACGGGAAUAAUUUUUUCGAGAAUGAGAACCCGUUGAUCGGGCGAAAGGGAAUCCGGUUCCUAUUCCGGAACCCGGCAGCGGAACCGCUGUUUGUCGGGCCCUCACAAGGGGUUCGUCAGGGUAACCUAAAAGGGCCCGGAGACGCCGUCGGGAGCCCCGGAAAGAGUUUUCUUUUCUGCAUGAGCGUUCGAGUUCCCUGGAAUCCUCUCGCAGGGAGAUAGGGUUUGGAACGCGAAGAGCACCGCAGUUGCGGCGGUGCCCGGGAAUUCCCGACGGACCUUGAAAAUCCGGGAGAGGGCCACGUGGAGGUGUCGCGCCGGCUCGUACCCAUAUCCGCAGCAGGUCUCCAAGGUGAAGAGCCUCUAGUCGAU
rnacentral:rRNA from 1 species